rnacentral:rRNA from 1 species
AUUGAACGCUGGCGGCAUGCCUUACACAUGCAAGUCGAACGGUAACAGGUCUUCGGAUGCUGACGAGUGGCGAACGGGUGAAUAAUGCAUCGGAACGUGCCCAGUAGUGGGGGAUAGCCCGGCGAAAGCCGGAUCAAUACCGCAUACGACCUGAGGGUGAACGGGGGGGAUCGCAAGACCUCUCGCUAUUGGAGCGGCCGAUGUCAGAUUAGCUAGUUGGUGGGGUAAAGGCCUACCAAGGCAACGAUCUGUAGUUGGUCUGAGAGGACGACCAGCCACACUGGGACUGAGACGCGGCCCAGACUCCUACGGGAGGCAGCAGUGGGGAAUUUUGGACAAUGGGCGCAAGCCUGAUCCAGCAAUGCCGCGUGCAGGAAGAGGGCCUUCGGGUUGUAAACUGCUUUUGUCAGGGAAGAAAUCUUCUGGGUUAAUACCUCGGGAGGAUGACGGUACCUGAAGAAUAAGCACCGGCUAACUACGUGCCAGCCGCCGCCGUAA